GACAUUUAAUUGGUGAAAGUGUUGCAGAAC
rnacentral:piRNA from 1 species